rnacentral:rRNA from 1 species
CCCUUAGAUGUUCUGGGCCGCACGCGUGCUACACUGAGUAGAUCAGCGGGUCAGGUUGCGCGAAAGCGUUUCCUAAUCUUUAAAUCCGCUCGUGAUGGGGAUUGACGGUUGCAAUUUUCUGUCAUGAACGAGGAAUACCUUGUAAGCGCGGGUCAUCAUCCCGCGCUGAAUACGUCCCUGCCCUUUGUACACACCGCCCGUCGCUCCUACCGAUUGAGUGGUCCGGUGAGGCUUUGGGAUCUGAGCGGAAAGAGCGUUUCGCUGUUUCUGCUCGGAAAACUCAGUCGAACCUUAUCAUUUAGAGGAAGGAGAAGUCGUAACA